rnacentral:rRNA from 1 species
GAUGAACGCUAGCGGCAGGCUUAACACAUGCAAGUCGAGGGGUAUUGGUUUUCGGACCAAGAGACCGGCGCACGGGUGCGUAACGCGUAUGCAAUCUACCUUUUGCAGAGGGAUAGCCCCAGAGAAAUUUGGAUUAAUACCUCAUAGUAUAGUACUUUGGCAUCAAGGAACUAUUAAAGUCACAACGGCAAAGAUGAGCAUGCGUCCCAUUAGCUAGUUGGUAAGGUAACGGCUUACCAAGGCUACGAUGGGUAGGGGUUCUGAGAGGGAGAUCCCCCACACUGGUACUGAGACACGGACCAGACUCCUACGGGAGGCAGCAGUGAGGAAUAUUGGACAAUGGGCGGCAAGCCUGAUCCAGCCAUGCCGCGUGCAGGAUGACGGUCCUAUGGAUUGUAAACUGCUUUAUACAGGAGAAACACUCCGACGUGUCGGAGCUUGACGGUACUGUAAGAAUAAGGAUCGGCUAACUCCGUGCCAGCAG